rnacentral:misc_RNA from 1 species
AUGUUGUUCACUUCCGGUUGAAUGAGAAAAUCAAAACAGUGCCAUGUGAUAGCUGAUGUAAAGUCACUGUACAGUUACAAGAAUUAAAUCACGAUGUCUGAAGACACGUUGUCUUUUCAUGAGAUGGGUCUUGAUGACAGGCUUCUUAAGGCAAUUUCCCAACUGGGUUGGUCAGAGCCAACACCAAUUCAGGAGAAAGCUAUCCCACUUGCGCUUGAUGGGAAAGAUAUAUUGGCACGAGCAAGAACAGGAUCAGGCAAGACGGCUGCAUUUUGUAUCCCAGUCAUUCAGAAAAUACUAACAGCUAAACAGACAAGUAGCACAGAGCAAUGUGUCAAGGCAUUGGUCCUAACCCCUACCAAGGAGUUGUGUCAUCAAGCAUACAAGAAUUUAAUGGACCUUACAUCAAGCUGUUCCAGAGAAGUGAAAGUCCUUGACAUUUCACCCCAGGUGCCCCUUCCCACACAGAAGCCCAUGUUGAUGGAGAAACCAGACAUCAUUGUUGCCACACCUACCAGAGCAUUGGCCCACAUCAAAGCGGGUAACCUUGACCUCAGACAGUCACUGGAGUUGCUGAUUAUUGACGAGGCUGACCUACUUUUCUCCUUUGGAUAUGAGGAUGAUGUCCGAGGAAUUCUUAGUAAUCUCCCAAAGAUAUACCAGGCCUUUCUGAUGUCGGCCACACUGAGUGAAGAUGUCCGAGCGCUGAAGAGAAUGGUGCUCCAUAAUGCUGUGAUUUUGAAACUUGAGGAAUCACAAUUACCUGAGGCAUCACAGCUGACCCAGUACCAUAUAAAGUGUGAAGAACAGGAUAAGUUUACAUUGGUGUAUGCUUUGAUGAAGUUAAACCUACUUCGUGGGAAGUCCAUCAUCUUUGUUAAUGAGGUCAAUCGUUGUUAUAAGUAAGUUCUGCUAUCCUACUUUUGAGUGCCCGUUGAAUAAGUACAGCCAAACUUGCAUAGAGCAUUGUCUGUUUCACAAAUUUUCCAAAUGAUAUUUAUCAACUUGAAGGUUUUUUAAAUAUGCAAUACAUUGAUUUUGUAAGUUCCAUAGGGAUGAAAUAUCCCCUGAUUUGAACAGAGGGCAAUAGCUAGAGGCUCAGUUGUAUGACCAAUAUUGCCCUUACCCUAUCAAUUGUGAAGAGUUUAACUUAAAAAAAGUAUUGUACUGUCGGUGCUAGUUACUGGUCUCUUAGACUCUUUUUGUAGAUAGACUUAUGAUAGCCCUGUAUAAUAAUUUAUGGUAUAUGUGACAUAGGCAGGAAGAAAAAUGAGAUAACUAUUAAUAUUUUGAAGUCUUGCACUUGUCAGCGAAUUCUUUAAUUGAUGUAUUAUUUACGUAGAAUAUUAAAUGGUGUAUAGAAGAAUAUCCUGUAUUUCUAGGCAAUUGAGAUAUGGUACAUGUAAUAGAUACUCUACUCUUUCUCUUAUAAUGAAUGCUUUUAAAGAGGGCUACAUAAGUUUUAGAACUUGUGCCCAAUCCCAUUGUUAGAUAAAUUCAAACCAAAUCAAAACAAUGCUUUUGAAUGUUAUCUACACAUGCCUUUGUACAUGACAGCGAUGUGUAUCGUACUUACAUGUAUUGUUCUGUUGAGAAGUGAAUAUUCUAUUUCUAUUUUACAUUUUCAGGUUGAAGUUAUUUUUGGAACAGUUUGCAAUCCCAGCUUGUGUGUUAAACUCCGAACUCCCAGUCAAUUCAAGAUGCCAUAUAGUUAACCAGUUUAAUGAGGGUCUGUAUGACAUCAUCAUUGCUUCUGAUGAAAAUUUACUGAUGGAUCCAAAAACAAAACCCUUGGAUCCCGAGAAAAAGAAGGACAAAAAACGAAAGAAGAAAGACAAGGAGUAUGGUGUGUCUAGAGGAAUAGACUUUCAGAAUGUGUCAAAUGUAAUAAACUUUGACUUCCCUUGUGAUGUGGAUACAUACAUACACAGAGUUGGCAGGACAGCCCGUGGGGACAACCAAGGCAGUGCUCUGUCCUUCGUCAGUGUCAAGGACAUGGACUUGUUAGUGGAGGUGGAGAAGACGCUCUCAGAAUCAGGCACUGAAGAAGACAGUGUUUUUAAGCCAUACAACUUCAAAAUGGAUGAAAUAGAUGGAUUCAGAUACAGAGCUAAGGAUGCCAUGAGGAUGGUGACAAAAACAGCAAUACGUGAGGCUCGGCUCAAGGAGAUCAAACAGGAAAUGUUGGCCUCCAACAAACUGAAAACAUACUUUGAGGACAAUCCACGAGAUCUACAGGUCUUGAGACAUGACAAAAGUCUUCACACAGUAAAAGUACAGAAACAUCUCAAAAAUGUCCCCGAUUAUCUAGUUCCUCAGACUCUAAGACACAUGCGAGGUAUGUCAGACAAACCCGGCAAAUCAAAAGCAAGGCGGAAAAACAUGGCACCCAAAGGACCCACAAAGGCGGAAAUCAAAUACAAGAAGAGGAAAGCAGACCCCCUGAGAAGUUUUGAAUCGGCCGGACUGGUGGGAGGGGGGAAGAAGAAAAAGAAGUCAUAGUGUGUAGUGUACUGAUGAUAAUAAAUGUUGAUUUUGUUGACAAAUC